CAAUCGCUGGCGAGUGGUUUCAUGACCAGUUUGUCAUGCUGAUUAGUAAUGCUUAUCCUGCUAUAGGCGGUUCUACUCCCGCAGCGAUUGCC
rnacentral:tRNA from 1 species